UUUCUGCACAAUCCCCACGGGGGGGGGGGGUAGGGCAGGGAUGUUAUCCCAUUGUACAGGUGGGGAACUGAGGGGCAGAGAGGUGAAGUCACUCGGCUAGCGUCACACAGGAAGUCUGUGGUGAAGCAGGAAAUUGCACUUGCGUCUCCCAAAUCCUAGUGCCCCACACACCUGAUAAUCCUUACCCAGACUUUGUCAGAUUUUGUUGGUGUUCUUUCGGUGAGCUCUUUUGAGGAAAUGAAGUCCUUGAUCCAAGCUGAUACUAUGAGGUUUUCUUCUCAUUCAUAGUAAUGAUACUGACAGAACCAGCAACAGUGAGGUCAUGGUUUCCAAAUCUGCAUCCUGAAGUUGUAGUUUUGUUGUAGGCACAAUUCCAUGUUUCACUCAGUGGUGCUCAGUGCACUGCAUGCAAGGUGGAGAUUUCACUUGAUCUCUUGUGCAUUACAUAAUAAUUUUUUCAUACAUUUUCUGUGGUAGGAUUUUCUGCAGAUGGGCUCAUUUUAUUAACUUUUUUACAAACACUCCAGUUUUCUAUGUCUAAAUUCUGUGUCCUGACUUGGGUUAUGUGCUGCUGGUGCAAGACUUGGCAUGUGUCUACAUGGGACUGUGGAAGGCAUCAUAAUAUGUAGCAAUCUGCCACCGGAUCAUGAAUGGACAAUAGUGACAAAUGGACACAAGGGCUCCCACCCUAGAUGCAGUGUGAAAUCCUGUUGUUGGUGGGCUGUACCCACUCCUGACAGAUACCAGUGGGUAUUUGUCUCUCUCACUCUUUUACAGCACAUGUAUAAAUUGACAUGCAAAUAAAACCUCAUUGAAUUGAAAUUGUGAAAGGCACCAAAAAAAAAAAAAAAAAAAAAAAAAAAAAGGGGGUCGUGAACCAGAACUGGCUACUAGAUCUGUAUGCAGCAGGAAUCAAAUGGCUCCAAAUACCCUGGAGCCAGCAGUUUAUGUCCAUUACCCCACUCCAAUACCAAGCAGUAGCCUUGCUGGACUGGCUGUAUAUCCCCUGGGUCCCAGAGUACUGUAUUGAGGCUGAGAAUUCUAUCUCACCAGUUGAUGUUUGACUGCAGUUUUCCAUCUUCACAGCUUUUUUAUACAGGCUUCGUUCCCUUUCUGAAGAGUAGGGUCAGAAACUAUAGAGAUAAACAUUAUCUUAUCUGACAUAGUAUUGCAAAUCCAGGAUAAUCUUACCUUCGAAGGGCAAGUAUUAUAGCUUCUAGCUUCUAUUUCAGUGUACUAAAAAUGUGUGAAGUAUUGAAUUUCCUUAUUUUCCCUGUUUUCACCUGAUGAAAGCAAAUAAUAUCUGGUGAUGUAGCUAUUUGGGAAUGGGUCUGCAUAUGACCAUCAUCUGUUUGCUUCUUCUCUGAUUGAGAGACUAGAGAGAAAUGCAGCCUCAUUGCUUCUAUAGAUCCUCUGGCUACUGACCAACAGCAGGAGGUGUAUUGGCAACUUCAGAAGGAAUUAGGCCAAAAUCUGCUCUCAGUUAUGUGACUGCCACUCCCUGUGUUGGCCCACUGCCUACUCCGCUAUUGGUCACAAUAUUAAAAAAGCAAGAGGGGAAACUAGGGAGAGGGAAGGAUUGGUUAACCCACAACUCUUUAACCAUGUAAGAUGAACUGGCAGUCUUUAAGAUGUGUUUUGAUAUCUUCUUAAAAGAGAUGCUCUAGCUCAAACUGAAAUUAUGGGCUUGAUGCAAAAAUUACUGACUGGGCUCUGUGGCCUGUGUUAUAUAGCAGACUAGGUGAUCAUAAUGGUGCUGCUGGCCUUAAAAAAUCUCUGAAAACAGGUACCUGGCGACUUGCAAAGACAUGCUGGUGAAUAGACACAUAGUGGCUGAGUACUUACUGACUUACCUGUAGGUUGGUACUGACAUAUGGGUUGAGUGAGUCAGGGAGAGUAGUGGGAACUCAGCAUUUCUGAAUAUCAGACCCGUAGACAUGAAACCAUUUCCUGAAUGGGUUAGGAUCAGGCAGAAGUCCUGGGUGGUACCCCCCCUUUGAUACUCAGCUAACAACUUUUUCAUGGAGUUACCCAGGAAGGGAUGCCGAGCUCAUGCUCAGAGAUGGACUCUAGAACUGGGCAGUAGCUGCAGCUGGACUCUGGGACAAGACAGAGCAAUCCAGUAAGGCAACAGCAUCUCAACAGAAAGGCUGCAUGUUCCAGCUUGCCAGAGAUGGUCAAUGUCCUGUCAGAGAAUGGUGCCAACCCAAGUUCGUAGUGUCAUCAGCAGAUUUGUAUAGGAGAAGAGGAUCAGACUGAGAGGAAUAAUGAAACAGCACAUCCCAAGACCAAACCUGAGGAUCUGCUCAGCCAGUGUGUUCUGAACUCCCCAGGGUUUGUGAGAACAGCACCUGCUUCGGCUGCUGAGGGGUUUGCAGCUAAAUCAAACCACCUUGGUAUGUUUUGGAUUGGAGUGGUCCUAACCUAGUGAGAGUACGUGAAUACAGGAAGCAGUUAACAGUGCUGUGCAUCGCCACAAACUUCUGAUUUGCAACUGGAGCUGUUUUUUGUAAGAACACGAUCAUGCACUUUGCAACAAACAAGAGGACAGCUAGCCAAGAUGAGGCAAUCAAACCAGUGUUUCAGCCGCUCACCUUUGGCGUUAAUUCCUAACACUACUCCACCUUAGCACAGAGAGAGAGAGAGAGAGACAGUCAGUCAGUUCAUUCCACAGAGGUAAGCCAAGCUGUGCCAGUAAAGACAGACAGAGAAGUCUGCAAAAGCAGCAAAGAGUCCUGUGGCACUGUAUAGACUAACACAUGUAUUGGAGCAUGAGCUUUCGUGGGAUGCAUGCAGAGAAGUCUGUUACUGACACUUGUUCAGCUAUCCAGCGAGAUGUACGCACUGUGACAUUGCAAAGCUUUCCAUGCUCCUUGGUAGCUAUUGGAAACAGCUGUUUAGAGGGGCAAGUGACAAGGGAGUCCUCACUCUCUCACACAGGUACAUUUUCUUCCUUUUAGCAUGGGUGGGUGGCGGCUGCUAGUGAGCACGAUCACUGGGUAGAUGGGUAGCUUCCUGGCUAGAUUAUCCCGGCCCCACUCACUUAGAGUUGGGCAUGGAGGAAGGAGUACAUCUUUCCAGCACUGCUAACAGCUGUGGCUCUGUCCCAUGCUGCCCCCCUCCUCCGAGUGUAAUACUCUUGACAAUGUGAAAUUACAAGUCAUUUGUUUGUCUAAUUUGUUGCCCUCUUGAUGUAACAGAUCCCUUAGUGUGUGGGGAGGGAUGGGGCUAGGAUCUGGCCAAGAAAAGGAAAGUCAGUUAAAUCGCAUGCCAAAGUAUUCUAUGCUCAGAGGAGCAAACAUGGAAGCUGGAACAGCCUAUCUUUUUAAAGGAUGGCCCAGAGUGGGACUGCAAAUGCCCCUCUGAUUCCAAAGGCAUAAGGAGGUAAUGAACUCUCCUGGGCCGUAAAUCAUUACGGCCACAAACAAAAUGACCCCUAAAUACUGCAAAGGUGGUUUGAAGCCUUUGCAUUCGACAAAGACAUAUUAAGCCUCCACUUUCACUCGUCUCUGGCUUUCAGAAGAAAACGCUUUGAAAAUCAAGGUGGAGUGAGACAGGCUCGUCCUACAGGAGAGUGGGAAGCCAGAGCUGAGUGUACCUGAAUGCAUAGUGCGUGGGAAUUACACCCGCCUGCCACACAAGUUCACUGGGGCAUUUUUAACCUAGUCCCAUUUCAAAGCAAGGUAGCAAAGUGCACAACAGAAUUUGUGUGCGUGGCAGCAGGGUCCAUGUGGGCAGGCUAGUGCGUGCUAGAUUUCUACCUCCGCUUGCCACAAGCUAAGUGGUCAUAUAGACAAGCCCUUAGUUGAUUAAUGUGAAAGGGCACAUGCCCAAAGCAGCUUGAAACUUACUUCAAGUGUAUCUUACUUACCAAUAAAAUCAUUUGAUUUUCCAAUAUCAUAAUCCCACACAGUGACUUCUAAGGUCUUCUUUGCCAGGUCACCAUGCUUUAUUUCAUAACAAAAUUCCUGUUGGGGAGAAGAAACUGAAUUCAGGAGGCAGCAUGUCAUCCCCAAAACUCAAGCUAUGCUAAUGCUAGCACAGUGCAGUGUGGUUUUAUAGAGCAUCUUCAGUGCAAGGAUCAAAAUGUUUCACAGAAAAUGCUUGUAAGCUACAGCAACAAGGAAGAUUUGAAGGUGCUAUUGAAUAGGAUUGACUGAGUGGCUUGCAGAGCAUGUCAGCUGGGUGGAACAGAGGAGCAGUUGGCUCUGAGGAGCUAGUGCAGAAAGACUUACUGGGAUCACUGCAUAUGCCCCUUGCUGUCAUUUGUUUUCUGGGCCAGGGAAGUUCUCAUUUAACAAUGAUGAAACAUAUGCAAAGGGAGGUGAAUCAUGAGCCAAUGCUUUUGCUCUGUGUAGCAGGUGAUGGAGGAGGAGAGGGCUUUAAUUGUAUAUGACUGACACCCUUUUCAGGUGGUCCUACCACGGAGAAACCUAGCAAGUGGUGUACAGCAAGGUUUCUUUUUCGCCUGUAUUAACAGAAGUAGGUGAAUGAGGCAGGAUUUCCCCGUGGUUAGUGCACAAACCUGGAACUUGGAAGACUGGAGCUCAAUUCCCUGUUCUACUAUUGCCUUCCUGCAUGAUCGUGGACAAGUCCCUUAAGCCCUGACCUGCUGUUAGACACCUAAAUAACACUGAGGCUCUGGGCCUCAGUUUCCAGGAUGUAAAAUGAAGAUUAGUAGCACCUCUCUACCUCACAGAAGUGAGGAGGAUCAAACCCUUAAAGGUGGUCAGGUGUUUGGAUGUGAUGGAGGUGGGGCCAUAGAAGUACCAAAGCAGAUAAAGCAAAAGCUGUGCACCUGGCUGCACUAGCAUGAGCCAGGCUAGAUAACCACUGAGCUCACGUGAAAAUUACAACUGCACAAACCAGACUUGUGUCCACUUCCAUAACUGAGAUGGGGAUAAGGUGCCUCUACACCUGACCCACUGGGGGGGCGGGGGGGCAGAUGCAAGGAUCCCAGCCAGGAGUGCCAGAGGAAGGGUGUUUCUUCACUGGUCAGAUUGCAAUAGAAGUAUUUAGAAAGGCAAGCAGAGACAGAAUAUGAUUGGAUGUCCCGCAGCAGGGGAAAUUGAUGCGAUUUAUAAGCCUAUCGUCUUGAUGUAUGAGACGCUCAUCAAAGAGAGCAGCAUUUUAGCAGCUAUCAAAUACAGUGUGGUGCAAAAGUACCUCAUUGAAUUCAGGGUUUAGUGUUUUCUUUUUCACUGCUGUCUUGUGCUUUGAUUUCUUGUCCUCAUCUGGUUUCAAGUAGCUGUAAUUAUAAUAAAGAACUUGGUCAGAACACAGCGCCAUCUAGCUGACCGUCAGCAUUUCUUUUUUACAAGUUUGACCUAACUUGUUCCCGCAGUCAGUGGAGUUGUAUUCCCAGCUCUGCCGGUGACUCGCUCUGCGACCACAGGUGAACAACUGGCCUGCCUUGAGCUAGGGCUUCCUAUUUUGUAAGCCGGAGGGUCUUAUUUCUUACUUACCCUGGUUAAAGCUCUUUGAGUGAAAGUCACUGUAGCAGUGGAAAGUAGCAUAUUGGCCUCUGGCAUUAAAAAGAGGCACUGCUAGAACUCACGCUGAGCAGCUGUUCAUAACCCCAUGACCCAAGCCCGACCCCAGAUGUACAGUACCUUCCCUCUUAACUUGUGUAAAUUGGAUUUUAAACAUUAACUUUAAUACAUUUUUUAAAUCUGUUCUACACCUUCUGGCAAAAGGACAUUUUUGCUGAUAUAACAAUCUGCACUGGGGGUUUUGCUGGCAUAGUUAUGUCACCUAGGGAAGUGAUUUUUUCACACUCCCAGCUGACAUGGCUAUGCUGGCAAAACUUUUAAGUGCAGAUCAGGCCUAAGAAACAGCGCUGAGAGGGAGUUUUCAAAAGAGUACAUGUUAUUUAGAAGUAAGGGCUCAUCUACAUCAAAAUGUAGGACUGGAAUGGACCUCAAUAGGUCAUCUAGUCAAGUCCCCUGCACUCCAGGCAGGACUAUGUAAUAACUAGACCAUUCCUGACAGGUGAUUGUCUAACCUGUUCUUAAAAAUCUCCAAUGACGGAUUCCACAACCUCCCUAGGCAAUUUAUUCCAGUGUUUAACCACCCUGACAGUUAGAAGGUUUUUCCUAUUGUCCAACUUGAACAUCCCUUGCUGCAAUUUAAGCCCAUUGCUUCUUGUCCUCUUCUUAGAGGCGAACGAGAACAAUUUGUCACCCUCCUCCUUGUA